UACGUAGGGUGCAAGCGUUGUCCGGAAUUAUUGGGCGUAAAGAGCUCGUAGGCGGUUCGUCGCGUCGGCUGUGAAAACCUGAGGCUCAACCUCAGGCCUGCAGUCGAUACGGGCGGACUUGAGUACUGCAGGGGAGACUGGAAUUCCUGGUGUAGCGGUGAAAUGCGCAGAUAUCAGGAGGAACACCGGUGGCGAAGGCAGCACUCUGGGACGUGACUGACGCUGAGACGCGAAAGCGUGGGGAGCAAACAGG
rnacentral:rRNA from 1 species